UACAGAGGUCUCAAGCGUUGGGCGGAAUCACUGGGCUUAAAGCGUGUGUAGGCGGCGGGCUAAAUACCUUGUGAAAUCCCACGGCUUAACUGUGGAACUGCUGGGUAUACUGGUUCGCUUGAGCGGUCUAGGGGCGAGCGGAACAAAUGGUGGAGCGGUGAAAUGCGUAGAUAUCAUUUGGAACGCCAACGGUGAAAACAGCUCGCUGGGGACCUGCUGACGCUGAGACACGAAAGCCAGGGGAGCGAACGGG
rnacentral:rRNA from 1 species